AACGAACGCUGGCGGCAGGCCUAACACAUGCAAGUCGAACGCAUCCUUCUGGUUGCGUGGCAUACGGGAGAAGAACGCGGGGGGACGUGCCAAUCAGUUCGGGAAUACCUAGGAGAAGUUGGGAGAAUACCGGAUACGUGAGUGAUCAGGAAGAUUUAUCGCUGAAGGAUCGGCCCGCGUCUGAUUAGCUAGUUGGUGGGGUAAAGGCCCACCAAGGCGACGAACGGUAACUGGUCUGAGAGGAUGAUCAGCCACAAUGGGACUGAGACACGGCCCAAACUCCUACGGGAGGCAGCAGUGAGGAAUAUUGGACAAUGGGCGCAAGCCUGAUCCAGCCAUGCCGCGUGAGUGAUGAAGGCCUUAGGGUUGUAAAGCUCUUUCGUCCGGGACGAUAAUGACGGUACCGGAAGAAGAAGCCCCGGCUAACUUCGUGCCAGCCGCCGCGGUAA
rnacentral:rRNA from 1 species